ACAGGCAGCAAGACAAUCCUUCAUUUUACCUGUUUGGAUGCUGAACAGGCCUCCUUUCAUACAGCAGACAUUAACCAGUGAAGGUGUACAGGUGUUCUCCAGAAACGUUUGGACCAGGGACGUUUGGAAACUUGCUCGUUAUUUGGCAAUCAGAGCACAAACAUGCAAUUUAUCCCCCUGCCUACCUAUAUUCCACUCCUCAGUCAGGUGCAGGCUACUUUGACAUUUACGGGACGGGUCAUGGUUCUGCCAAAAUCCCAUUCCAGUGGUAGAGACUGAGAUGGAGCUACAGGCUGCGACUGUGAAGAGAAAAGAGAAAAGAUGUGGCGGCCAUUUUUGUGUUACCUCACACAACUUGCAGCAGCCAUUUGGUGACUAAAAGCUGCGUCAGACCAACACGGCUACCUACCUGAAAGAUGAUUUGUGUCACAGUCUAUCCAUUGUUGAAUGCAAAAUCCUACAUAUUAAUAGCAAACUCAUUCUCCAAGUGCGGAUGCAGCUCUACUCAGAGCCAAGCGACUGCACAUAACACAUGCACAGAGAAAAAGAAAGGGAGCAGCCCUACCAACAACAUAAAACUAAGUUGAGUGUGCUUUUAACUGACAUGAAGAACAAGUAAUGAGCUAUCACAAAACAGAACUCCAGCUUCUAUAUUUAACAGAUAAUUCUGUAACCAUCGUAUUUUGCUUUCUUAGAUUAAUGCAACUUUCUCUCUCUCUCUCUCUCUCUCUCUCUCUCUCGUAACAUCUGGGAGAGGAAAAGAUGAAAGCUGGUAUGAAGAGCCGAGAAAACGACUACAUGUUUGACAACUUCUUGCAGGACAGAAAUGUCUGGUCUUUUGGGCAUCUGAAUGCAAAUGAUUAGCCAGUUGCCAAGAACAGUCAUUCCAGUCUCAAUCAGAAGGCUCCAACCCCACCCUCAGCCAGAGUUUCAAGAUACGUUUUGUGUUUGGUUGGAAAUGAAAGGCUCCCACAUUUUUUCUGAUGUUAGCAUGCAAAGUGGUUGGGGUUUUUUUGGCAGGGGAGGGGGAACCAGAUUAGGGAAGGUAUAGAAACUGAUGGAGCCUGUUACUUGCCACCUUCUCUGUUCUUCAGACACCCAACCUAGUUCCACUUCUGAAGCUGAGGAGGCCUUACGUAGAUUGAAUGGGAGAUUGCCUGGAAACUCCUUUAUAUGUCACCUUGACCUCUUUGGAGGAAUCACAGGAUAAAAAUGUAAUAAAUUAAAAUAAAUAUACUCAACAAAAUUAAGUACAGAACACGAAAAUCUGUGUAUUUCUUACAUUUUUAAACUGCUUUCAAGACAAGAACUCCCGGAGCAGUAUGAAAGCCUUAAAAUAGAAUAUUGCCCUUGACUGGGAAUCGGAUAGAUGACAUGUUCUUGAUGGAGUUGCAUUUCCCCUGAAGGAACAGGUGCAUAGCUUGGGAAUACACCUAGAGACCUCAGCCCAGUAUACCUGAAGGAGCGUCUCCACCCCCAACGUUCAGCC